UUCCUAGUAGUGUAUUGUUAUUACUGUGGCGACACAUCAUUCUAUAUAAAAUCUAGCAUUUUUGUCUCAUUAGGCUAAAUUGGAUAGUUUGUAACACUAUCUCUAGACAUGAGCAAUGGGCCGGACCACCCAUUACACGGCCCGGCCUGGCACGAAACGGGCGGUGCCAAGACAAGGUUUGUUAGCUACAGUAACAGGUCGUGCCAGACACGGCCC
rnacentral:lncRNA from 1 species